rnacentral:rRNA from 1 species
UACGAAGGGGGCUAGCGUUGCUCGGAAUCACUGGGCGUAAAGCGCACGUAGGCGGCUUUUUAAGUCAGGGGUGAAAUCCUGGAGCUCAACUCCAGAACUGCCUUUGAUACUGGGAAGCUUGAGUCCGGAAGAGAUGAGUGGAACUCCGAGUGUAGAGGUGAAAUUCGUAGAUAUUCGGAAGAACACCAGUGGCGAAGGCGGCUCACUGGUCCGGUACUGACGCUGAGGUGCGAAAGCGUGGGGAGCAAACAGG